AGAGAAGUGACUUGGCGCUCCAAGUCACUACUAAUGGCUAAAACCGGAAACUGGAAACGAUACCGUGCAGUGGAAAUAAUGCGUUGCGUACAAUGAGCCACAUUAAGAGGUUCCAACUUAGCCAUUAUUCAUGGUUAUGAAUACCAAGACUGAUAUAUGGGAACAAAACAACGACUAUGAACAGAAGAGGACAGAUCAGGAAAGAAAACAAGCCUGGAACAAUCAAAAGUAAAGGGAGCAAGACAAGGAGUGAAAUCAGAAAAAUUUCCAAGAAAAAGAUUAUCACCCAAUUUUCCUAAGCCUAGCAUGUAAGUCUGGAUUUUACAAGAAAAGGAGAGGGAAUUGAUCAAGAGAUUCUUGUCAUAGAACAGAAAGUUAGUAGGUGAAAUGAGAAAUGAUCUGUGUGAGCCCUGUGGAGGUAACAUGGUAAAUACUCUCAAUAUACUGUAAAAAGUGUGAUUAAAGGGAAGAAACAUUGAAAGAAAAUUAUCCACAUGUGCUGAUUUGGAGAACAGCCACACUUUGUAAUAUGAACCAAGAGAUAAAAUCAAAUUUGUUUCUCAGUGGGGAAACAUAAGCCUUUUUUCAGGCUGUAUUCCUCUGCUACCUGCCUUGUUUUCUUCACUAUAAAUGAGCAUUGGGAAAAGAACAGGCUUUAGAGAUUCUGCCCAAGCAAUUCACAGACCGUCUUCUUGGUAAUCACUAGGUAGCUCUUUUUAAUUUUUUUUUCAGUAAAGUUCACAGGAUUUAACCUUGGUUUUUGAUAGCAAGUAUUAUUUUUAAUAUUUAUCAAGCUACCAAAAUAUCUCUAAAGUUAUCUUAGAAUAUAUGUAGAGAAGGAAAAGUGAAUAUAUACAUGUAUAUAUGUGUAUAUAUGUAUAUAUAUGAACAUACAGAUAUUUCAAUCCUUAGGGUGAUGUAAAUUCUGCAGAUUUUACUUAUGCACAUUAUUUUGUAAUUUGACCUAAAUAAUUAUCAGGGUAAGACCAGCAUUUGCCAUAAUAAGAUAGUACAUGGAUUAAUUGACCAAUUAUAGUAUUUUCAGCAGCACCUCAUGGCAAAUGGCUUAAUUGUGGCUAAAUUACAGGCAAAGUGAUUGACAAAAAUUGUUCCCAAGUAAAUCUCAGUUUGCAGUGUUCAUCAUCAAACUUGUCAUCUUUACUAAAACUAAAGGUAAGGUUAUUGUUUAGAUCAGAAAUACCUGUUUUUGUGAUUUUUUUUUUGUUUAGGCUAAAGGGACAUCUAUAAGUACAAAGAUAAAUCCAUCUUUCACACAGAUACCUUUUUAUGUGUUUGCAGUUUCAAUUUAAAGGAUAACAAGUUUAUUUCAAUUUCUAUGGUGCAAUUAUGUUGACUGUAUUGGGAAAACAUGAACCAAUACAUUUAACUUUAAGAUCUAUAGCUAAUUAUAAAAAGUCAUGUAUAUGACAUUUUUUGAGGAUUUCAAAUUCAAAAAUAAUAUUUAACUUCUGAAUAAUAUAUAUUCAUGCAUAUAUCAUAAUAAUAUAGUAACAAUAUCUUAUUGACUUACUGAGCAAAAUAUGAUCAUAAAAUAUGUCAUUACAGCCCAGAAACACAGCAAUAAAAAUUUAGAUCAAAAUAUCUAACAACAUCAAUCUAUUAGCAAUGAUAUUGUUAUAAAAUAUUUAUGACACUUUGAUUUAAAAAAACCUGAGAUUCAUUCAGUAUCCUUUUGGCAUUUGAACUGACAUCUCUUCAUCUUCUACACAAUUGCUGAUUCAGAGAGUAAAUGGUUAGAUCUGUCAGGCAGCUUUAUACUUUCACAUUAAAAUUCAAUAUUAUUUAGACCCAAGUAGAUAGAUUAAAAAAUAGCACUUCUGAUCAGGAAGGAAACGUAUAAAUUAUGAAGUAAGUGAAGGAGUCACUGGCCAAUUGUUUGAAGAAAAAAAUACACCAUGUACCAAAAUAAACGCCUGGUGGGUAAAGAGUUUAAUGUAAAACUGAAUCCAUAAAAUUACUACAAGAAAAUAUAGAGAAAUACUCACAUAAUCUUGGGAGUAGGAAUUAUAUUGCAUGAAAUGUAAAGUAAAAGGAUGACUUUUAAAAGGCAUGAAAAACUAAAAAGUGAUUUUAAAAAUCACCAAAAAAUUAAAUGGCAAGUACCAAAUUGAAAGGAAACAAAAAUCUUCUUCAAAAAGUUGAAGGGCAGUUGCCAAACUGGAAUGGAAAAAGGGACAAAGGAGUAGGAAGUCUUACAAAUCAGUUAGAAAAAGAUAAAUAGCUAAAUAGAAAAAUGGGCAAAGGACUUCUGCAGGUAAAUCAAAAAAGAAGGAAUAAAAGUCAAAAAGAUAAAUUUUUUCAUUUUUGUCAGUAAUAAAAAAUGCAAAUUAAAAAGAUUAAAACACUACCUUUGCCUAUCUAAUUGGUAAGGAUUAUUUUAAAAGAUAAUAACCUGUAUUAGAAUACUACAUCUGUUCUCCAUUGCUCUUUGACAAAAUAUCUGUAAAGUACAUACCUUUUAACCAGCAAUUCCACUUCAAAAUAAUGCUAAGGAAAUAAUUAAUGAUAUGUGCCAUAAGAUGUUUACUGCAAUUUCCUUCCUUGCUCACCUUCCUCUCUAUCUUCCUUAUGUUUGAUAUUGAUGAAAAAGGGAAAAGAUUAAAAUGUCCCCCCAAAAGGAGACUGGUUAAAUUAAGUAUGGUAGAUUCAUUCAACAAAAAACCCACAAUAUUUCACCAAUAAAAAUGACCAACCACAGUAAAUGUAUUUGAAAAGAUGUUCAUAAUAUAUUGUUAAUAAGGAAAAUCAGAAUACAAAGCAAAAUGUACUGGGGGAGAGUCUUUUCUUUCUCUCUCACUCUUGCUCCCUCCCCACCUCCCACCACCACUAUACACCUACACCCACAUAUAUAUAUAUGCUUACUGGAAAGGUAUUGGAAAAACAUAAUUAACUGUGGGAAGGGACAUUACCAGAUUGUUAAAUGUUCUUCUUUUCUCCAGUUUUAUAUUAUUUUCUAACAUCACUACAAUGAACAGGAAUUAAUUUUUUGAUAUGUAAAACUAUUUAAAAAUUAAACAUAUAAUGUUA